AUUGAACGCUGGCGGCAUGCUUUACACAUGCAAGUCGAACGGUAACAGGGAGCUUGCUCCGCUGACGAGUGGCGAACGGGUGAGUAAUGCGUCGGAACGUGCCGAGUAGUGGGGGAUAACGCAUCGAAAGGUGUGCUAAUACCGCAUACGUACUGAGGUAGAAAGUGGGGGACCUUCGGGCCUCACGCUAUUCGAGCGGCCGACGUCUGAUUAGCUAGUUGGUGAGGUAAAGGCUCACCAAGGCGACGAUCAGUAGCGGGUCUGAGAGGAUGAUCCGCCACACUGGGACUGAGACACGGCCCAGACUCCUACGGGAGGCAGCAGUGGGGAAUUUUGGACAAUGGGCGCAAGCCUGAUCCAGCCAUGCCGCGUGUCUGAAGAAGGCCUUCGGGUUGUAAAGGACUUUUGUCCGGGAGCAAAUGCUGGUGGCUAACAUCCACCGGAGCUGAGAGUACCGGAAGAAUAAGCACCGGCUAACUACGUGCCAGCCGCCGCCGUAAUAC
rnacentral:rRNA from 1 species